rnacentral:snoRNA from 1 species
UCUGCCCCAAGAGGUGCUGGCUGCUGUGUCACAUCGCAUUAGUAGGUGUCAGAGAGCAGCAAUAUCUAAUGCUCUAUGUUCUGACCUGUGAACAUCUGAUUGGUAGCAUA